rnacentral:rRNA from 1 species
GAGGGGUGCAAGCGUUAUUCGGAAUCAUUGGGCGUAAAGGGUGCGUAGACGGCUUAUCAAGUCAACUGUUAAAUUCUCCGGCCUAACUGGAGGUCAGCAGUAGAAACUGAUAGGCUUGAGGUUGGAAGAGAGAAGUGGAAUUCUCGGAGUAGCGGUAAAAUGCGUAGAUCUCGAGAGGAACACCGAUGGCGAAGGCAGCUUCUUGGUCCAUACCUGACGUUGAGGCACGAAAGCGUGGGGAGCAAACAGGGAUUAGAUACCCUGGUAGUCCACGCCGUAAACGAUGAUCACUAGACGUUAAUUCUGCUUGCAGAAUCAGUGUCGUAGCUAACGCGAUAAGUGAUCCGCCUGGGAGUACGGUCGCAAGGCUA